rnacentral:tRNA from 1 species
CCUGGUGGCUCAGACGGUAAAGCGUCUGCCUACCAUGCAGGAGACCUGGGUUCAAUCCCUGGGUCAGGA